AGCUUUGUGCGGUGGCAGUAUCGUAGCCAAUGAGGUUUAUCCGAGGCGCGAUUAUUGCUAAUUGAAGAUCGUGGGUGAUCCCACAGGAGACCAACACCUAGUCCAGUGGAAUUAAGCCUAUUCAUCAAGACUCUCCUCAACCCCAGAGCAUUGAUCUGGUCAGUGUUCACCUUAGGUAAACAGUUCUGU
rnacentral:snRNA from 1 species